rnacentral:lncRNA from 1 species
AUUUUUUCCUGAGUAAGCCCUUAGCUUUUAUUUUCCAGACCUUUUAUGCACACACAUUUGAUUCUAAAUAGUAAUAUGUGAAUGGAAGACAUGUAGGAAGACCCUGUACUGUACCACAGUGACUAAGAGCCUGUGUCUUUCUCCACUCUAAUAGGCAUUAUCUCAGCUCCAAAGACAGAUAACCCAGUGGAAGAAUACAAUGUUCUAGAAGGCAGUAAUACUCCCGGACAGAAGGAGACUGUAUCCUUGAAUUCUCUAAUUUUAUAGUGACAAGAGCAAGAAAUAAGACUUUUUUUUUUUGUGGCAUAAGAAUCUUGCUGUGAACCAGGAAUGUUGCUGAAGGCAAGAGAAACAACCUCAAAGAGAAAUGACAGAAGACCAGAUGUAAAUGUUUUAUAUCCGUAUCAAAAUAUGCUGUUGGAGACUGAGGAGAAUUUGUUAUAAGACAAUAAAAUGCCGAAGUCACUUUGAAGUCAAAGUACUGGCAUUUAUUUUACAGGAGAAAAAAACAGGAAAGAAAUUUAAAGUAAAAGGAAGAUUGACCACACAGUACGCUCAGCGGAGAUCUCAACGAGGUAGUAAGUAUAAAAUAGCCUUAGAGACAAACCUACUAUAGCUUUUUCCUAACAAAGAUUAUAAAUAAGUCUCCAUGUAAUAAAGCCAAGAG